GGAAAGGUGGCCGAGUGGUUGAAGGUACUUGCUUGGAAAGCAAGCGUGCGGGAAACCGUACCGAGGGUUCGAAUCCCUCCCUUUCCGCCG
rnacentral:tRNA from 1 species